AUUGAACGCUGGCGGCAGGCCUAACACAUGCAAGUCGAACGAGCGGCGGACGGGUGAGUAAUGUCUGGGAACCUGCCUGAUGGAGGGGGAUAAGUACUGGAGACGGUAGCUAAUACCCCAUACCAUCAGAUGUGCCCAGAUGGGAUUGGCUAGUAGGUGGGGUAAUGGCUCACCUAGGCGACGAUCCCUAGCUGGUCUGAGAGGACGACCAGCCACACUGGAACUGAGACACGGUCCAGACUCCUACGGGAGGCAGCAGUGGGGAAUAUUGCACAAUGGGCGCAAGCCUGAUGCAGCCAUGCCGCGUGUAUGAAGAAGGCCUUCGGGUUGUAAAGUACUUUCAGCGAGGAGGCGUUACUCGCAGAAGAAGCACCGGCUAACUCCGUGCCAGCAGCCGCGGUAAUUC
rnacentral:rRNA from 1 species